GGAGAAUAACUUCUUACUGUGGAAACAAUGUUUUAAUGAGUGAAUAUGGCUGUUCACGUCUAUACAUUGAUCCAAUCUUUUAUGAACUUGACAUUCCAAGUUAUCUGCGAUCAUUCGACGAUGGAUCAAGUGACGAAGAGGAUGUGAUGAUGGAGAUGGUUGA